AGUCUGAGCUGUCCUUGUUAGACUGCUUAGCAAUGCUGGAAUCUUGGAGACAUCAGCAUGCUUAUGUCACAAGCCACAUCUGUCACUGCAGGAUUUGUGUUUGUCCUCACGUUAAUAAUAACUGAUGGAGGCACCAAGUCGCCUUCCCUUAAAAGCAAGGAGUCUGAAUAUCAGUUUGGGAAGAGGUGCUUCAAAGAUCAAACCAGGCCCAUGACAGUGACAUUCCUGGAUCAAUAUGGUCAGGAGGGUCAUAUAUAUCCUUCCAGUGGCAAGCUAAUAGUCCAAAGCCAGUACAUGAUAUGA
rnacentral:lncRNA from 1 species